UUAAGCGACUAAGCGUACACGGUGGAUGCCCUGGCAGUCAGAGGCGAUGAAGGACGUGCUAAUCUGCGAAAAGCGCCGGCGAGGUGAUAUGAACCUUUGACCCGGCGAUGUCCGAAUGGGGAAACCCAGUGCAAUUCGUUGCACUAUCGUUAACUGAAUACAUAGGUUAACGAGGCGAACCGGGGGAACUGAAACAUCUAAGUACCCCGAGGAAAAGAAAUCAACCGAGAUUCCCCCAGUAGCGGCGAGCGAACGGGGAGCAGCCCAGAGUCUGAAUCAGCUUGUGUGUUAGUGGAAGCGUCUGGAAAGUCGCACGGUACAGGGUGACAGUCCCGUACACGAAAGCACACAGGUUGUGAACUCGAAGAGUAGGGCGGGACACGUGGUAUCCUGUCUGAAUAUGGGGGGACCAUCCUCCAAGGCUAAAUACUCCUGACUGACCGAUAGUGAACCAGUACCGUGAGGGAAAGGCGAAAAGAACCCCGGCGAGGGGAGUGAAAAAGAACCUGAAACCGUGUACGUACAAGCAGUGGGAGCACCUUCGUGGUGUGACUGCGUACCUUUUGUAUAAUGGGUCAGCGACUUAUAUUCUGUAGCAAGGUUAACCGUAUAGGGGAGCCGAAGGGAAACCGAGUCUUAACUGGGCGUUAAGUUGCAGGGUAUAGACCCGAAACCCGGUGAUCUAGCCAUGGGCAGGUUGAAGGUUGGGUAACACUAACUGGAGGACCGAACCGACUAAUGUUGAAAAAUUAGCGGAUGACUUGUGGCUGGGGGUGAAAGGCCAAUCAAACCGGGAGAUAGCUGGUUCUCCCCGAAAGCUAUUUAGGUAGCGCCUCGUGAACUCAUCUUCGGGGGUAGAGCACUGUUUCGGCUAGGGGGCCAUCCCGGCUUACCAACCCGAUGCAAACUACGAAUACCGAAGAAUGUUAUCACGGGAGACACACGGCGGGUGCUAACGUCCGUCGUGAAGAGGGAAACAACCCAGACCGCCAGCUAAGGUCCCAAAGUCAUGGUUAAGUGGGAAACGAUGUGGGAAGGCACAGACAGCCAGGAUGUUGGCUUAGAAGCAGCCAUCAUUUAAAGAAAGCGUAAUAGCUCACUGGUCGAGUCGGCCUGCGCGGAAGAUGUAACGGGGCUAAACCAUGCACCGAAGCUGCGGCAGCGACGCUUAUGCGUUGUUGGGUAGGGGAGCGUUCUGUAAGCCGUUGAAGGUGUGCUGUGAGGCAUGCUGGAGGUAUCAGAAGUGCGAAUGCUGACAUAAGUAACGAUAAAGCGGGUGAAAAGCCCGCUCGCCGGAAGACCAAGGGUUCCUGUCCAACGUUAAUCGGGGCAGGGUGAGUCGACCCCUAAGGCGAGGCCGAAAGGCGUAGUCGAUGGGAAACAGGUUAAUAUUCCUGUACUUGGUGUUACUGCGAAGGGGGGACGGAGAAGGCUAUGUUAGCCGGGCGACGGUUGUCCCGGUUUAAGCAUGUAGGCGGAACGAUUAGGUAAAUCCGGUCGUUUAUUAACGCUGAGGUGUGAUGACGAGGCACUACGGUGCUGAAGUAACAAAUGCCCUGCUUCCAGGAAAAGCCUCUAAGCAUCAGGUAACACGAAAUCGUACCCCAAACCGACACAGGUGGUCAGGUAGAGAAUACCAAGGCGCUUGAGAGAACUCGGGUGAAGGAACUAGGCAAAAUGGUGCCGUAACUUCGGGAGAAGGCACGCUGAUAUGUAGGUGAAGCCCCUGCGGGUGGAGCUGAAAUCAGUCGAAGAUACCAGCUGGCUGCAACUGUUUAUUAAAAACACAGCACUGUGCAAACACGAAAGUGGACGUAUACGGUGUGACGCCUGCCCGGUGCCGGAAGGUUAAUUGAUGGGGUUAGCGGUAACGCGAAGCUCUUGAUCGAAGCCCCGGUAAACGGCGGCCGUAACUAUAACGGUCCUAAGGUAGCGAAAUUCCUUGUCGGGUAAGUUCCGACCUGCACGAAUGGCGUAAUGAUGGCCAGGCUGUCUCCACCCGAGACUCAGUGAAAUUGAACUCGCUGUGAAGAUGCAGUGUACCCGCGGCAAGACGGAAAGACCCCGUGAACCUUUACUAUAGCUUGACACUGAACACUGGUCCUUGAUGUGUAGGAUAGGUGGGAGGCUUUGAAGCGUGGACGCCAGUCUGCGUGGAGCCGACCUUGAAAUACCACCCUUUAAUGGCUGGUGUUCUAACGUAGACCCGUAAUCCGGGUUGCGGACAGUGUCUGGUGGGUAGUUUGACUGGGGCGGUCUCCUCCCAAAGAGUAACGGAGGAGCACGAAGGUUAGCUAAUCCUGGUCGGACAUCAGGAGGUUAGUGCAAUGGCAUAAGCUAGCUUGACUGCGAGAGUGACGGCUCGAGCAGGUGCGAAAGCAGGUCAUAGUGAUCCGGUGGUUCUGAAUGGAAGGGCCAUCGCUCAACGGAUAAAAGGUACUCCGGGGAUAACAGGCUGAUACCGCCCAAGAGUUCAUAUCGACGGCGGUGUUUGGCACCUCGAUGUCGGCUCAUCACAUCCUGGGGCUGAAGUAGGUCCCAAGGGUAUGGCUGUUCGCCAUUUAAAGUGGUACGCGAGCUGGGUUUAGAACGUCGUGAGACAGUUCGGUCCCUAUCUGCCGUGGGCGCUGGAGAAUUGAGGGGGGCUGCUCCUAGUACGAGAGGACCGGAGUGGACGCAUCACUGGUGUUCGGGUUGUCAUGCCAAUGGCACUGCCCGGUAGCUAAAUGCGGAAAAGAUAAGUGCUGAAAGCAUCUAAGCACGAAACUUGCCCCGAGAUGAGUUCUCCCUGACCCUUUAAGGGUCCUGAAGGAACGUUGAAGACUACGACGUUGAUAGGUCGGGUGUGUAAGCGCAGCGAUGCGUUGAGCUAACCGAUACUAAUGAACCGUGAGGCUUAACCUU
rnacentral:rRNA from 2 species